UUCCAGACUCCUACGGGAGGCAGCAGUGAGGAAUAUUGGUCAAUGGGCGCGAGCCUGAACCAGCCAAGUCGCGUGAGGGAGGACGGCCCUACGGGUUGUAAACCUCUUUUGCCGGGGAGCAACGGGCGUCACGUGUGGCGCCACUGAGAGUACCCGGAGAAAAGGCAUCGGCUAACUCCGUGCCAGCAGCCGCGGUAAUACGGGGGAUGCGAGCGUUAUCCGGAUUUAUUGGGUUUAAAGGGUGCGUAGGGGGCGCUUCAGGUCAGCGGUGAAAUACCGGGGCUCAACCCCGGGGCUGCUCUUGGAACUGCGUGGCUGGAGUGCAGGAGGGGCAGGCGGAAUUCCUGGUGUAGCGGUGAAAUGCGUAGAUAUCAGGAGGAACACCGGUGGCGAAGGCGGCCUGCUGGACUGCAACUGACGUUGAGGCCCGAAAGCGUGGGGAGCAAACAGGAUUAGAUACCCGGGUA
rnacentral:rRNA from 1 species